GAUGAACGCUGGCGGCGUGCCUAAUACAUGCCAGUCGAGCGAACGGACGAGAAGCUUGCUUCUCUGAUGUUAGCGGCGGACGGGUGAGUAACACGUGGAUAACCUACCCGUAAGACUGGGAUAACUUCGGGAAACCGUAGCUAAUACCGGAUAAUAUUUUGAACCGCAUGGUUCAAAAGUGAAAGACGGUCUUGCUGUCACUUAUAGAUGGAUCCGCGCUGCAUUAGCUAGUUGGUAAGGUAACGGCUUACCAAGGCAACGAUGCAUAGCCGACCUGAGAGGGUGAUCGGCCACACUGGAACUGAGACACGGUCCAGACUCCUACGGGAGGCAGCAGUAGGGAAUCUUCCGCAAUGGGCGAAAGCCUGACGGAGCAACGCUGCGUGAGUGAUGAAGGUCUUCGGAUCGUAAAACUCUGUUAUUAGGGAAGAACAUAUGUGUAAGUAACUGUGCACAUCUUGACGGUACCUAAUCAGAAAGCCACGGCUAACUACGUG
rnacentral:rRNA from 1 species